AAAGUCGUAACAAGGUUUCCGUAGGUGAACCUGCGGAAGGAUCAUUACCGUGCCCGGCGCGGCGGCCACCCCACCCGGGGUGCGUCGCCCCCGCGUGCCCACCCGUGUCUACCUAACCCGUUGCUUCGGCGGUGCGUGACCGGACCCCCUUAUCGGGGCCGGCCCGCCGCCGGAGACCCCCCGUCGAACAUCUGAUCUGAAGAAAGAUGCUGUCUGAGUUGAUAUUGAUAAACAUUUAAAACUUUCAACAACGGAUCUCUUGGUUCCG
rnacentral:misc_RNA from 1 species